rnacentral:lncRNA from 1 species
AAAAUGAUUUAGUCCCGGUGCAAAGGACAUUGGAAUCAUGGACUCAAAUCUUCGUCAACAACAGCGCCACCUCUUCAGCCUCUAGCCCUGAUUUCUGGAAUAACACCAGUACUGGCAGCGACGAAGGUGGAUCAUCCAUCAAGCCAAAUUCAUGGCCUGAUCAGUGAUCAUUUCUAAAAAUUUUAGAAUUUUUCCUUGCUCCUUCUGGAUACAAAUUUCUUAAUUCUCUGAUUUUUAUUGUAUCCUCUCUUUGUGAUUUGAGCUCUAUUGGGUUUUCCGGUAUAUGAUUUUCGUUUCACCGUGAAAAUUUUGAAUAAAUUAUUUGUUUCCAUCUUUCUAUGGCAUGGACCUUUGAAGUAACGAGCACAAACUGGGAGCUUAUACUACCUUGUUUUGGAUCGACUUAUUAUUAUAUUUGUUUAUUUAAACUCAAAAGACAGAAUUAUUUUCUGCUUUUAUUUGUUUGUAUAUUAAUUAAUAAAUAGUCCAUUCAUUUUAUGGCUCCAUUAACCGAAAG